GCCAUAGAGAAGGUUGGGCACACAGAAGAAGAAUGUUAGCCGCUAACGGGAGCUAGCCAUGUGUCUCAUCUUUUCUAAACCACAGGGUUUCGGUUCAUCAUCUGUAAGGAUUACAACACUGGAGUUUUAUCUGCUGCGCUUCAGUUCCUACCGUCAAUCUCGCCCCAAGCUAUGCUGACGACACCUCGACUCCUGAGGAAAAACCACUAAAGAUUUCACACAAACCACCUUUGCACAGAUCCAAAGGCGGAUUCAAGUGAAGCAACACUCCUUUAACUUGGUGGGCUGCACCUCAUGCUAAUCCGAGUAAACAAGUCCGAACGCCCGCAGUGACCAGACUCAGCUUCACCUGGUUAUAUAACGGGAAUACGACCAUUCAGACUAAAACCAAAGAAAGUUGGACGUCUUUGGAGAGACGCUGGCCUACAGCCGCUCUCUGCAGCACACGCUGCCCUACAUACACUCUGACUGAACUUCCCUAUCCAAUGCUUGGAUGCUCGACUGGCUCACCCGCAGCACGGAUCAUGUUCUGCUGCUGACAAACAUCUGACUUCUGACCUCAGCUUCUAUCCGCCCUCUCAUCUUCUUCUGGUGGUGACUAAUGGUGAAUCAUAAUGACGGUCUGCAAAAGGCUGAAAUUUAAGCGUUAGAGCUCCGUAUGUGUGUAACCGCGUAUUCCCAAGGUUAAAUAAAGUUUGGCUGAACUUCAAAGCGGUUCUGAUGGUAACGUUAGCAGCAAAAGGAAGAGAAAAAUCUGUAGUUUGAUCAUUGAAAAAUUAUACAUUUCAUGUUU